GGUGACUGUGCGCCUUUUCCUGGCCGUCUCAGCUCUGCCUUGCAGAAGCCAUGCUGGCCUCUCUGGCCAGGUGGGAAUCACGAAGCUGCUGUCCAGCCUGGAGGCAUCGAGGCCAGGGGCGCCCGGCUCAGGCCUGUCCAGGGCUAGCAUGUGUUGCCCCCCAGCGGGCACCUCAUCCCUGGGACCCCCACACAUCUGCCAGGCACCCCCAGCACCCCAGCCUGGCAGGUGGAACCGCAGGUGUGGUUUCGGUCUUGGCAGGGGUGUCCUUGAGGACGGUGGCCCAGCAGGCCCAUGCCUCGGACAUACCUUUGGCUCAUGGCCUGAGACAGCCCCGAGCGGCCUGCAGGGACACCCCCUUCCUGAGGGGAGCUGGACGCUGGCUAUUUCCGCUCCAGGCCAACUUCUGCCCCUUCCUGUCACCAGGCCCUCCGUCCCCCCGCAGAGCCAUGAGUCCCAGGCCCCCGGGGGGCAGGGCCCAGCGUCUUCUUCAGCAUCUGCUUCCCACUUUGUGUUGAUGGUGACUUAGGAACUGUCACGAUUUUCCAAUAUUUAACAAGGCAACGUUUAAAAUAACAUCCAGGCGAAUGUAUGUCAUCUCUGUAUUGAUGUCUCUUCUGAAACGCUUUGUGGUUUGACAGCUGAUGUCCUAGACAGGAGUCCCUGGGCUCUUGGGGACAUUGUUUCUUCUCCGGGGGAGGAGGGAAGGACGACUGGGGACGUCUGGAGUCUCUCCGGAUGUCCUGCCAAGGAGAAGGCCUCCGCAUCUUCCCAGGGCAGGGUCCCCAUUGAGAGGCUGCAAGGGCGUGCAGGGGCGCCCCCUGGUGGUGACGGGCGGCGCCGGCGUCUGGGGGCCCAACCCCGCCCAGCAGGGGUGGAGGUGAGCUGCGGACGCCCUGGACCCCUGGGCCGCUAGAUGGGCAGGGUGUCGCCCAGGUGCCCUCUCGGAGGUCGUCCCAGGGGCUAGCGAGUCACUUGGCCCAGGGGCACUGAUGGGAAGCCUUGCCCCCCCCUCCCUCCUUUAUUAUUUUUUUAAAAUAUCUGCGGAAUAAACCCAAUGGUUACUUUUUGAAUGAAUAAAAGGCUUUUGUUGAAUAAACAGCUGGUGCCAUCUCUGUCUUGCCGCUGGCCUCCAGACUCCGGCUCUGUCUCCCCAGGACGGGCGGGACACGCCCUGCCCCGUCCCGCCAACUUCCAGGACUUGCGGGGAGGCCCUUGUGGGGCCUCAGUUUCCCCGUCCGGCACGGAGGAGCCCGGCCGCCUCCCAGGGCCAUCGAGGAGGACUCGCGGCCAACGGAGGGAGCAGGUGUGGCGCUGUGCUUGCUCGUGUCCUCUCCUGCUUGCUCCCCAGCUCCUCGGACUCUCCGUUCGGGGCGCCGUCCUGUCUGUGUCUCCGGGCGGGCGAGGGGAGGCCCCUGCCUGGCCGUGCGGGCCGGGGUGACGCGGCUGUGUCGCAUGCCCUGGCCGCCGCCUGCGCGCCCGCUGUAUGUCGUCCAUGUCACGCAAUUAAACACGCUUCCUGGACCUGUCCUCGCUGCGUGUGGGCUGUUGCUUUGUCUGUUUCUCUUUCUGUCUUGCUUCAGUGACACCCUCGCUCCCAGCCCAGGGUCCCCGGGGGAAGCCCGGACACAGGAAGGACCCAGGUGGGCAAGGGCGGCCCCGAGGGCAGCAGGGUGAGCCUCCUGUGAGUGACCUGAGGUAUCUCCUUACCCCCACUGUGUCCGGUGGGGCCCCA
rnacentral:lncRNA from 1 species